rnacentral:rRNA from 1 species
GACAGAGGUGCCAAGCGUUAGGCGGAAUCACUGGGCUUAAAGCGUGUGUAGGCGGGCGGGCAAGUACCUUGUGAAAUCCCACGGCUCAACCGUGGAACGGCUGGGUAUACUGCCUGUCUUGAGCCAGCUAGGGGCGACCGGAACAGACGGUGGAGCGGUGAAAUGCGUAGAUAUCAUUUGGAACGCCAAUGGUGAAAACAGGUAGCUGGGAGUGUGCUGACGCUGAGACGCGAAAGCCAGGGGAGCAAACGGG